CAGUCGCGUCUGCUGGGACUCAGCCUUGCUUCUGCUGGGUGUACUUGCCUGUGUGGUUAGUUAACAUCAAUUUUGGGCGCCGGAAAAGGAUGAGAGGAAUGUGGCAGCUUGCUGUGUUAUAGCCUCUUGUUGUACACGGUGCCUGGGAUUGAGGACUGCAGCACGCCUUUGGUAGGGUUCGCCCACUCCCACGUGCUUAGGAUGCUGGCGUAA
rnacentral:rRNA from 1 species